UUUUUGUGUUUCCUCGAAAAGCAAGAAUGUAAGGAAAAGAAAAGAGACACCACACAUCUUACAAAAGACACGUACUCUUGUCACUUACCAUACAAAAAGUGCAGCUCUUGUAAAGCCUUGACGUGUUAACUACCAUCCCAUUCAUUUCCUCUCUUUUUAUUUAUACACCACUCCCAUUCUUUCUCUACACUCCACAUAUUAUCAUUCUUAUUAUUAUUUCUACUUGCAUUCUCUUAGCCUAAGCUAGCUAGCAUCAAGAUUAUACAUACAGAUCAAAGAAAAGCUACUUAGUUUGGCCCCAGACAUACAUACAUUUUGAUACAUAUAUUUAUAUAUGACAUUACCAUCUGCAAGAAUGGCCACGUCUGAACAUUCACCGAAAAAAUCUCCUUCCAAAGAUGAUGGUGGUGAUCAAGAAAUCCGACUGGAGAAGCUUGAAGAACAAGAAGAAUCCUCAUUAAAGAAGAUCGACGAUAUCGAAAGCGAGGUUGCCAAGGCUAGUGAUGAAAUUACAAAGCCGAGCACAGCUGUGGCAUCAGAAGAAGAAACCGCAUUGAAUACAGUGACAGCUGAUACCACGGUGGUGGGUGGUGGUGACAGCGUGGCGGCGGAGGAGGAGAGUGGAAGAGAGAGACUGAGGAAACACCGGUUGGAGAUGGCGGGUCGGGUUUGGAUACCGGAUACAUGGGGUCAAGAAGAUCUACUAAAAGAUUGGAUAGAUUGCAGUGCAUUUGAUGGAUCAUUGGUGAACAACACUAUACUCUCAGCUAGGGCAGCUUUGAUACAACAACGUUCUACAACAAGUCCUGCUAAUAAUCCUACGCUUCUAACAGCUAUAGACAACAGCGAUGAGACUUCAAACUAGCUAGAAGAUUGACAAACGAAGUAGAAGAAGUGACGGAAGAACUCAAAAUCGGACCAAGCAUGUAUAUAGAGGCACUUUACUUUGGGGGCAGUACCUUUGUUUCCAUCCCAAGCUGCUAGAAACAAUAAUACAGCUCACCAGAUAGAGAAGCUCUGGGAUUCGUAAAGAUUACAUAUGUCAAUAUCGCGCAACAACGAAUGUACGGUGUAUUCUCAACAUGUAUAUGUCACUGGCGAGGAGUAAACUCCCAGAUCUUGAUGGUGCCAUUAUCACUGGACGAGGCAAGCAGCCUACUCCCCUGGAAAAACAACCAAUAAACUGAACAGAUAUUCUAACAGAGAUUUUGGACCCCAAUUGAAAAGUGCCAGGACCCACAAAGUUAUCAAAAUCAACUUUAACCCUGAUCCACAAGGUAAACCAUAGCAGACCAGGUAUACCUACACUUGUUUCGAGCUUUCAUGAAGCCAGCUUAGUACGUUAUUAGUGAAAUACAACAUAAAAAUCAAAAUUUAUCAUAUCUUGAAAAGUUCGGAGUUGAGAAUUAAUAUUGUAGUCAAAUUACUCCCAAAUGUCACUCUCUUAGUUUCCAAUAGAAAGUUUAAUCAUUAAAAUCCAACCUAUUUGAUUUCGGACAAGUGAACAUGAAAUGCCAUUAGGAAUAGCAGAACACUUCAUCUUUAAAAAUGUAGUACCACCGAUGAAUUAACUAGCUUAUAGAUCUUAGAAAUGGGCGAAAUUUCGACUCCUAGGUAUGAGCAACAUAUAGAACAUAGAUCAUGUACUUCCGCCAAUAAUAUGAGCGGGCAUGUAAUGUGGAGAUAAUAUUACUUGUCAGAUCUCAGAUUUUAACGAAGACCAUGGAGCACGUUUGGGGGAUGGGGGCGGGGACGGAGGGAAAUUACCUUGGGGCUCCACUGCACCGCGGUGACCUCCACUUUACGAGCCUCCUUCUUUGGAAAAAGAUAUUGCAUCAUUUCAUCUUGUCUUUCCCGUAACUAAAAGGACAGUGAAGAUUUCUUGUUACUAAAAGUCAGUUAAAUGAGAGCAAACAUGUUAACAAUCAUCCUUUAGAAGCAGAAACUUGAGUAAAUCAUCUCUUUGAUGGAUGAUCACCUCAGGGACCUGCUGCACUUACAUUCAUUACAUCCAUCCUCUUCUUUGCCAAUGGCAUUUCAAGCAUGGGUUCACUUUUAUCCUGUGACUAGAAAGACAGUAAAGAUUUGUUGUUACUAGAAGUCAGUUGAGUGAGAGCAAAUUACAAGAAGUCAGUUGAAUGAAAGCAAGUAUGUUAACAAUUAUCUUAUAGAAACAGAAGCUUGAGUAGAUCAUAUCUUAAUGGAUGGUCACCUUGGGGUCCAACUGCCCCGAGUUAACAUCCGCCUCAUGAGCCUUCUCCUUUCUCAAAAGCAAUUUCAUAGCUCCUCCUCUUUCCUGUGACUAGAAAGACAGUAAAGAUCCAUUGUUACUUAAAGACAGCUGAAUGAGAGCAAAGAUGUUAACAAUUAUCUUUUAGAAGCAGAAACUUUAGUAGAUCAUCUCUUUGAUUGACCAGUAUAUUUGGCCCUUGUAUGCGUAACAGAGAACACAGCAACCUCUACCAGCUUUUCCAGAUAAUCAAGUUUGAGUAGCAGAACAGACAGAUGUUAAACUGCUUUGUUUAACAAGUUUUGAAACAGCCUGCAUUGUGACACUACGACUGAAGUCAAGAUUCAAGAAUAAUACAAAAUCCGCUAUUCGAUUAUAUAUACCACUGCUUAGUAUUUAGUCCUUUGUAGUUUUUAGAAUAAGACUUGAAUCUUUGUGUAGAUCUUAGAGUUCAUCUUUACAGGAAGGACUACAUUUCAACUAGCUUAUGUAAUAUCUAACAAAUAUUUGUACUGGAAUAUGACUUUGUCAUCUUCAACAGUAUAAGCUAGUAUCUGGAGUUCUUCUGUAAUGAUGAAUGAUAGUUUAAUCAUUUCUUGCAAAUUUAAUACAUAAACUUCAUUCAUUCCAUC